AUGCUACACAACACCGCCCCCAAAACAUUUUCCCCUGUUGGAUGGCGACUUGGGCGCUCCAUCGACUACUGGAUGGCACCAUGCGGCUGCGACACCCCCCACCCCCACACCCCCCCGCCCUGUGGCACCGUCGGCUGCCCCUUUGUCGCCGACAUCCAUCCCAUCGCCGGAUCUAGGAGAGCUUCGCCCGAAUUCUCUUCUGAUUCUUGCGUGUCGGUGGUGGGUGGAGAGCAGCGGUACCAACGACAUUUGAAGCACAGAGGGUGGCAGGAUUCGGAGAGGAGGCUGCGGAUCAGGGGUCCGAUGGGUCGUUCUCCCUCCUCCCUAAAGCGGUGGCGAAGGAUGUCAGUAAAUUGUUGUUGGCGUUGUGCGCGGCAGGUCAGCGCCGCCAAGGAAUACAGGAGGUCCGUGUAGCGGCUGUAGU
rnacentral:lncRNA from 1 species